GCCAACGGCCAUACCACGUUGAACACACCAGUUCUCGUCCGAUCACUGAAGUUAAGCAACGUCGGGCCCGGUUAGUACUUGGAUUGGUGACCGCCUGGGAACCCCGGGUGCUGUUGGUA
rnacentral:rRNA from 1 species